CCCAGGUCUCCACGGCGCAGGAGAUCCAGCGGCACUUCGAGGGCCACCCGGCCGACCUGGUGGUCUGUGACGGGGCCCCUGACGUGACGGGGCUGCACGACCUCGACGAGUACAUCCAGGCCCAGCUGCUGCUGGCGGCGCUGAACAUCACCACCCACGUGCU